rnacentral:tRNA from 1 species
UCCUCUGUAGUUCAGUCGGUAGAACGGCGGACUGUUAAUCCGUAUGUCACUGGUUCGAGUCCAGUCAGAGGAGACA